rnacentral:rRNA from 1 species
UGAGCAAUCUGCCCUUCUCAUCGGAAUAAGCGUUGGAAACGACGUCUAAUGCCGAAUACGACCUCCUUUCGCAUGAUCGGAGGUGGAAAGCUCCGGCGGAGAAGGAUGAGCUCGCGGCCUAUCAGCUAGUUGGUGUGGGUAAUGGCCCACCAAGGCGACGAUGGGUAGCCGGCCUGGAGAGGGCGACCGGCCACACUGGGACUGAGACACGGCCCAGACUCCUAGGGAG